CAUAGCAUGAAAUUUGAAUUGUAUCAAUUCCCUAUCCUUCUCUUUCUAUUUACUUUUUCCUUGACAAUUCUCUCAACAAAUAUUGGAUUUCUAGGUCAAAGCUAGGGGAACUGGUUGGAGCCAGGGUUUUGUUUUGCCCCUUUGAGAAUUACAUUUAUGAUCUAAUAUUCCAGUUCAAAAAAAAAAAAAAAAAUCUAAUAUUGGAUUUCUUUAAUUGGAGUUGUGAAAAAUUAAAAUAAAAAAAAAAAAAAUUAUGAGUUUGCCUUUGACAAGGGGGUGAUAGCCAAGUGAAAUAAAUGGAUACAGGCAGAGGUAGCAAUCUGGUUGUCUUUAACGUGACUAGACAGGUAAGUACGUGGAUCAGCUUCGCCAGUCUUGGAGGUAUCACUCUCAUGGUUCCAAGGUGACCAGGCGUGUGAUCAGGCCCAGAAUUGAAGGCCUAAGUUUUGUUUUGUCAAGCCAUCCACCGUGUCUCCUGGGGAGGUUCCCGUAUAUAGAAGUCAAGUUUUGUGGACCAUGUCAAGAGUUAUUUUGUGUAUCAAAUGCAUCUUCUUUAGCCCCAAAAGCGCUUUCAACAUCUGAGAAUUUGAGCCUCCAAAUUGCUUCAACAAAACUAAAUGGGACCAAUUACCUUGAAUGGUCACAAUCAACAAUGUUGACAUUCAAAGGCAGAGGGAAGUUAGAAUACCUCACAGAUCCUCCACCAAAGCCAACUGAUCCCAAUUUCAAGACUUAAGAUGUGGAGAAUUCCUGGCUACUCCACUCUAUUCAACCAGAAAUUGGAAAGACUUACAUGUUCCUUAAAAUGGCUAUGGACAUUUGGGAAGUUGCUGCACAAACUUACUCUGAUAUAGGUAUGAAAACUCAUAUCUAUGAACUGAAAAUGAAGAUUCAUAACACAAAACAAGGAUCUUCCAGUGUCACUGAAUACUACAAUAUCAUCAAGAGCCUUUGGUUGGAACUAGACCAUUAUCAAAAGAUUGAGAUGGUGUGUAGCAUGGAUGCUGCGGAGCUGCAAAAAGCACUUGAAGAAGAAAAAACAUUUGAUUUCCUUGCGGGGGGUUAAAUGGUGAAUUUGAUCAGAUUAGAGACAGAAUUUAUCAUCCCUAAAUGAGGUUUUCUCAAUUAUUCGAGGAGAAGCAAGUAGGUAGAUGAUGAUGCUGGAUAAGCCUACCAAUGAGAAUUCGGCCUUGGCUACUUCAAAAGUUGCUUGGGGAAUAAAUGAAGGAAAAAAAAAUCUGAAUAGAGAGAAGAUGUGGUGUGAUUACUGUCACAAACAGUGCCACACCAGGGAGAUGUGCUGGAAAUUGUAUGGAAAACCACAAGGCUUGAAGGGAAUUGGCAGCAAAGGAGAAAGUCAGGUAGAAAAAUCAGGACAAGCUCAUCAAAUUGUGGCUAGAGAUGACUAUAAGAAAGCUAUGGGUUCAGCAAAAGUGAGGUUGAAAGGCUGAAACAGUUGCUAAAUCAGGUUGAUAAUCAAACCACAAACUUGACUCCAAUUUCAAGUUCUUGCUCCAUCGUCCAAUCAGGACUCUGCUAUGGGGAAGAUGAUUGGGCAUGCUGAAUUGAAGGACGACUUAUACUUCUUGGAAGCAGAUUCAGUGAAAAAGAGUCAAGAGUCUCAAGGCUUGGUCUCUACUACUUUUCAACAAAAAAAUGAUCACGUUUGGCCCUGGCAUAGACGGUUAGGACAUCCUCCUUUUCCUUUGUUGGAAAAAAUGUUUCCUUCCUUGUUUACAAAUAAUAAAGUGGGGAAAUUUCAUUGUGAAAUUUGUGAAUUGGCCAAACAUCAUCGUGUAUCCUUUCCUUUGAAAACUCCACAAAUGUUAUCUCUAUUUAGUUUAAUACAUUCGGAUGUUUGGGGUCCUUCCCGUAUUCCAAAUAUUUUUGGUUCUCAGUGGUUUGUCUCAUUUAU